rnacentral:rRNA from 1 species
AGUGAACGCUGGCGGUAUGCUUAACACAUGCAAGUCGAACGGCAGCACAGUAAGAGCUUGCUCUUACGGGUGGCGAGUGGCGGACGGGUGAGGAAUAUAACGGAAUCUACUCUUUCGUGUGGGAUAACGUAGGGAAACUUACGCUAAUACCGCAUAUGACCUACGGGUGAAAGCAGUGGAUCUUUGCACCUUGCGCGAUUGAAUGAGCCGAUGUCGGAUUAGCUAGUUGGCGGGGUAAAGGCCCACCAAGUCGACGAUCCGUAGCUGGUCGGAGAGGAUGGUCGGCCACACUGGAGGUGGGACGGCGUCCAGGCUACUGCGGGAGGCAGCAGUGUGGAAUAUUAGACAAUAGGCGCAAACCUGGCACAGUGAGACCAAGUGGGAGAAGGAAGCGUUGCGGUUGGAAAGCCCUUUUGUGGGGUAUGAAAAGCAGCCGGUUAAUACCCCGCUGUACUGACGGUACCCGGUAAAUAAGCACCGGCUAACUACGUG